rnacentral:tRNA from 1 species
AUUAAAGUGGCAGAUUAGUGCAUUAGAUUUAAGCUCUAAAAAUGAAAUGAGUAUUUCCUUUAAUA